UACAGAGGUCUCAAGCGUUGUUCGGAUUCAUUGGGCGUAAAGGGUGCGUAGGCGGCGCGGUAAGUCGGGUGUGAAAUCUCGGAGCUUAACUCCGAAACUGCAUUCGAUACUGCCGUGCUUGAGGACUGGAGAGGAGACUGGAAUUUACGGUGUAGCGGUGAAAUGCGUAGAUAUCGUAAGGAAGACCAGUGGCGAAGGCGGGUUGCUGGGCCGACACUGACGCUGAAGCGCGAAAGCUAGGGGAGCGAACGGG
rnacentral:rRNA from 1 species